rnacentral:rRNA from 1 species
GUAAGGAAUAUUGGGCAAUGGACGCAAGUCUGACCCAGCCAUGCCGCGUGCAGGAUGACGGCCCUACGGGUUGUAAACUGCUUUUGUACGGGAAAAACCCCCUGGUCGUGCACCAGGGCUGAUGGUACCGUAAGAAUAAGCAUCGGCUAACUCCGUGCCAGCAGCCGCGGUAAUACGGAGGAUGCAAGCGUUAUCCGGAUUCAUUGGGUUUAAAGGGUCCGCAGGCGGAUCAAUAAGUCAGGGGUGAAAGCCUACGGCUCAACCGUAGAACUGCCCUUGAUACUGUUGAUCUAGAGUACAGUUGAGGUGGGCGGAAUGUGUCAUGUAGCGGUGAAAUGCAUAGAUAUGACACAGAACACCGAUCGCGAAGGCAGCUCACCAAGCUGUAACUGACGCUCAGGGACGAAAGCGUGGGGAUCAAACAGGAUUAGAUACCCCAGUAGUCC